rnacentral:rRNA from 1 species
GCAAUGGGCGAAAGCCUGACCCAGCAACGCCGCGUGAGGGAGGAAGGUUUUCGGAUUGUAAACCUCUGUCCUUAGGGAAGAGGGAAGUGACGGUACCUAAGGAGGAAGCCCCGGCUAACUACGUGCCAGCAGCCGCGGUAAUACGUAGGGGGCGAGCGUUGUCCGGAAUGACUGGGCGUAAAGGGCGUGUAGGCGGCCGACUAAGUCUGAUGUGAAAUACCCGCUUUUAAGGUGGGUCGUGCAUUGGAAACUGGAUGGCUAGAGUGCGGAAGAGGUAAGUGGAAUUCCCAGUGUAGCGGUGAAAUGCGUAGAGAUUGGGAGGAACAUCAGUGGCGAAGGCGACUUACUGGGCCGCAACUGACGCUGAGGCGCGAAAGCGUGGGGAGCAAACAGGAUUAGAUACCCUGGUAGUCCACGCUGUAAACGAUGAAUGCUAGGUGUAGGGGGUAUCGACCCCUCCUGUGCCGCAGUUAACACAAUAAGCAUUCCGCCUGGGGAGUACGGCCGCAAGGUUGAAACUCAAAGAAAUUGACGGGGGCCCGCACAAGCAGCGGAGCAUGUGGUUUAAUUCGAAGCAACGCGAAGAACCUUACCAGGUCUUGACAUCC